rnacentral:lncRNA from 10 species
CUCAGUUGCUCUGUUAAACAGCAAAAUUCCCAAGUCCUCAUCUCAAUGAGCCACUGAGGCCGAUGAAGAGGGCCUGUCUCAUUUAGGACAUGAGUGGCCAGGCGGGUGCCACAGGCCCUUUUCCUGGUGACAACAAAGCCAUUGCAUGGCUCCAGGAAGGCCACAUCAUUUCCUGGGUUUCGUAGGCGCCUGCGGGGCGGAAACAGUUCAGCAGGGCCCUCCUGAUCACAAGGACGAGGUCAUACCGGCUGCUGCAUGGCAGGGCUGCACUCUGCCAGGGAGCGUCCUGUGAUGGAGGGGCUGCACUGCCACUUUACUGAUGAGGAAAUUAAGGUUCAGAGAGAUGAGGUCAUUUCUUAGAGGCCAGACAGCCUCCUCAGCCCAUUUAUAAGGUUGUUUCUGUGGUAUUUGCCAUAAAGCCAUAGGUUCAUUGAUUUGUUCUUAAGUAGUUCUGAGCCCUUCCUGCAUAUCAGGCAGGGACAAACAGGAAAGUCCCUGCCUUUGGCAAGUGCGGGGGAAAUGAAAUGAUUCUGCUUAGCCGCAUCCAUUGGUCUGAACAAUCACGUCUCAUGACCGCAGGGACGCGGCUUCCCCUGAAUGCGGAUCCUAGAGGCCAGGCAGAAGCAGCAUGGGUUUCCACUCACACGAUCUAUCUACUGCUCAUGAAAUCUCUGGAUUUAACUCUGAUGAAAGACUGGAGGCUGAAGGAGAACUUCAAUAUCAUAUAUUUUAAAGGUUGACUCACAGUUUGGAGCAAGAAUUAAAGAACCACGAACUUCAAGGUGAUGUAAAAUUCUCAAACAAUGAGAUAGAUAAAAAGUACGCAGCCAAAAAGUUCAAGAAGAAGUGUUAUGGAGAUGGAGCAGGCCCUUCGUAAAAACACGAUGUUGGUUUUCUGGAUUUUGUAUGUUUGCUUUUUUUUUUUCCUCAUCCUAAAGAAAUAUUCACUGUCAUACCUAAUU